AGAGCGAACGCUGGCGGCAGGCCUAACACAUGCAAGUCGAACGGACUCUUCGGAGUUAGUGGCGGACGGGUGAGUAACACGUGGGAACGUGCCUUUUGGUUCGGAAUAGCUCCUGGAAACGGGUGGUAAUGCCGAAUGUGCCCUUCGGGGGAAAGAUUUAUCGCCAUUAGAGCGGCCCGCGUCUGAUUAGCUAGUUGGUGAGGUAAAGGCUCACCAAGGCGACGAUCAGUAGCUGGUCUGAGAGGAUGACCAGCCACAUUGGGACUGAGACACGGCCCAAACUCCUACGGGAGCAGCAGUGGGGAAUCUUGCGCAAUGGGCGAAAGCCUGACGCAGCCAUCGCCGCGUGAAUGAUGAAGGUCUUAGGAUUAGUAAAAUUUCUUACGAACCGGGGUACAAGUAAUAGGAACCGGUACCCGGAAGAAACGAACG
rnacentral:rRNA from 1 species